rnacentral:rRNA from 1 species
GGUGAGUAACGCGUAAGCAAUCUGCCCCUAAGACGAGGAUAACAGUUGGAAACGACUGCUAAGACUGGAUAGGAGACAAGAAGGCAUCUUCUUGUUUUUAAAAGACCUAGCAAUAGGUAUGCUUAGGGAGGAGCUUGCGUCACAUUAGUUAGUUGGUGGGGUAAAGGCCUACCAAGACUAUGAUGUGUAGCCGGGCUGAGAGGUUGAACGGCCACAUUGGGACUGAGACACGGCCCAAACUCCUACGGGAGGCAGCAGUAGGGAAUUUUCGGCAAUGGAGGAAACUCUGACCGAGCAACGCCGCGUGAACGAUGAAGUAUUUCGGUACGUAAAGUUCUUUUAUUAGGGAAGAAUAAAUGAUGGAAAAAUCAUUCUGACGGUACCUAAUGAAUAAGCCCCGGCUAACUAUGUGCCAGCAGCCGCGGUAAUACAUAGGGGGCAAGCGUUAUCCGGAAUUAUUGGGCGUAAAGGGUGCGUAGGCGGUUAAAUAAGUUUAUGGUCUAAGUGCAAUGCUCAACAUUGUGAUGCUAUAAAAACUGUUUAGCUAGAGUAAGAUAGAGGCAAGUGGAAUUCCAUGUGUAGUGGUAAAAUGCGUAAAUAUAUGGAGGAACACCAGUAGCGAAGGCGGCUUGCUGGGUCUUUACUGACGCUGAGGCACGAAAGCGUGGGGAGCAAACAGGAUUAGAUACCCUGGUAGUCCACGCCGUAAACGAUGAGUACUAAACGUUGGGUAAAACCAGUGUUGAAGUUAACACAUUAAGUACUCCGCCUGAGUAGUACGUACGCAAGUAUGAAACUUAAAGGAAUUGACGGGACUCCGCACAAGCGGUGGAUCAUGUUGUUUAAUUCGAAGGUACCCGAAAAACCUCACCAGGUCUUGACAUGCUUCUGCAAAGCUGUAGAAACACAGUGGAGGUUAUCAGUUGCACAGGUGGUGCAUGGUUGUCGUCAGCUCGUGUCGUGAGAUGUUGGGUUAAGUCCCGCAACGAGCGCAACCCUUAUUGUUAGUUACCAGCACGUAAUGGUGGGGACUUUAGCAAGACUGCCAGUGAUAAAUUGGAGGAAGGUGGGGACGACGUCAAAUCAUCAUGCCCCUUAUGACCUGGGCUACAAACGUGAUACAAUGGCUGUUACAAAGGGUAGCUGAAGCGCAAGUUUUUGGCGAAUCUCAAAAAAACAGUCUCAGUUCGGAUUGAAGUCUGCAACUCGACUUCAUGAAGUUGGAAUCGCUAGUAAUCGCGAAUCAGCAUGUCGCGGUGAAUACGUUCUCGGGGUUUGUACACACCGCCCGUCAAACCACGAAAGUUGGCAAUACCCAAAGCCGGUGGCCUAAC